GACGAACGCUGGCGGCGUGCUUAACACAUGCAAGUCGAACGGAAAGGCCCUGCUUUUGUGGGGUGCUCGAGUGGCGAACGGGUGAGUAACACGUGAGUAACCUGCCCUUGACUUUGGGAUAACUUCAGGAAACUGGGGCUAAUACCGGAUAGGAGCUCCUGCUGCAUGGUGGGGGUUGGAAAGUUUCGGCGGUUGGGGAUGGACUCGCGGCUUAUCAGCUUGUUGGUGGGGUAGUGGCUUACCAAGUCUUUGACGGGUAGCCGGCCUGAGAGGGUGACCGGCCACAUUGGGACUGAGAUACGGCCCAGACUCCUACGGGAGGCAGCAGUGGGGAUUAUUGCACAAUGGGCGGAAGCCUGAUGCAGCAACGCCGCGUGCGGGAUGACGGCCUUCGGGUUGUAAACCGCUUUCGCCUGUGACGAAGCGUGAGUGACGGUAAUGGGUAAAGAAGCACCGGCUAACUACGUG
rnacentral:rRNA from 1 species